CCUUGGUCCAAUCGGGCGGAAUUCUGCCAACAUAAACAUCAAAUGUAAUCGGUCUGGUCCUGCGUUCCGUCUCACCGCUACCCGACGCAUGCGAAUUCUCGUACUGUUUUUCCGACAUCGAAGCGAAAUCGCCCCCGACACCAGGCUUGCCGGGAGACUUCUGCAUGUAUUCUAACUAUAAACCACCUUUUUCCGCUUUCAAAACAAGUUUUUAAACGAUUUUAGGACGGGUUUUUUCAAAUAAAAACCACAACACAUUUGCUUUUUUU
rnacentral:lncRNA from 1 species